rnacentral:rRNA from 1 species
UGGGGAAUAUUGCACAAUGGAGGGAACUCUGAUGCAGCGACGCCGCGUGAGUGAUGAAGGAAUUCGUUUCGUAAAACUCUGUUCUAUGGGAAGAAAAGGACUGUACCAUAGGAGAAAGCUCCGGCUAAAUACGUGCCAGCAGCCGCGGUAAUACGUAUGGAGCGAGCGUUGUCCGGAAUUAUUGGGCGUAAAGGGUGCGCAGGCGGCUUUACAAGUUGGAUGUGAAAUAUUGUGGCUCAACCACAAACGUGCAUUCAAAACUGCAAAGCUUGAGUUAAGGAGAGGUAAGUGGAAUUCCUGGUGUAGCGGUGGAAUGCGUAGAUAUCAGGAGGAAUACCGGUGGCGAAGGCGACUUACUGGACUUAAACUGACGCUCAGGCACGAAAGCGUGGGGAGCAAACAGG